AGGGCUGGGCUAGAGUGCCACCUCCGGUCUCCAUGGCAACCUCCCAGGGCUUUCCAGGAGACUCUAGGGUGCCUUUUGGGCAAGCUGGGCUGGAGCCCACCCUUACUGAGCACCUGGGAGCUGUCAGACAAAAAGGGAGACCCUGGCAUCCAAGGCAUCAAAGGAGAGAAGGGGGAGCCCUGCUUGUCCUGCAGCUCGGUUGUAGGGGCCCAGCAUCUUGUGUCCUCCACAGGGGCCAGUGGAGAUGUGGGUUCCCCUGGCUUUGGUCUGCCUGGCCUUCCGGGUAGAGCUGGGGUUCCAGGGCUGAAAGGAGAGAAGGGUAACUUCGGGGAGGCAGGGCCAGCUGGCAGUCCAGGGCCACCAGGACCAGUGGGGCCAGCAGGCAUCAAAGGGGCGAAGGGGGAGCCCUGUGAGCCGUGCCCAGCCCUGUCCAACCUUCAGGAUGGGGAUGUCCGUGUGGUGGCCUUGCCUGGCCCAUCCGGAGAGAAGGGGGAACCUGGGCCUCCAGGCUUUGGCUUGCCAGGAAAACAGGGCAAGGCUGGAGAGCGUGGACUGAAGGGGCAGAAGGGUGAUGCUGGGAAUCCUGGAGACCCUGGAACGCCGGGCACCACAGGGCGGCCAGGACUGUCAGGAGAGCCUGGAGUUCAGGGCCCCGCGGGGCCAAAAGGAGAAAAGGGUGAUGGCUGCACUGCCUGCCCCAGCCUGCAGGGGACAGUGACAGACAUGGCAGGACGGCCUGGGCAGCCCGGCCCCAAAGGAGAGCAGGGCCCCGAAGGCGUGGGCCGACCUGGUAAACC
rnacentral:lncRNA from 1 species